GCUGAAAAUAGCUCAGUCAGUAGAGCAUAAGAUUCUCAAUCUCAUGGUUGUGGGUUUGAACCCCACCUUGGGCA